rnacentral:rRNA from 1 species
AGCGAACGCUGGCGGCAGGCCUAACACAUGCAAGUCGAACGAACCUUUCGGGGUUAGUGGCGGACGGGUGAGUAACACGUGGGAACGUGCCUUUAGGUUCGGAAUAACUCAGGGAAACUUGUGCUAAUACCGAAUGUGCCCUUCGGGGGAAAGAUUUAUCGCCUUUAGAGCGGCCCGCGUCUGAUUAGCUAGUUGGUUGAGGUAAUGGCUCACCAAGGCGACAAUCAGUAGCUGGUCUGAGAGGAUGAUCAGCCACAUUGGGACUGAGACACGGCCCAAACUCCUACGGGAGGUAGCAGUGGGGAAUCUUGCGCAAUGGGCGAAAGCCUGACGCAGCCAUGCCGCGUGAAUGAUGAAGGUCUUAGGAUUGUAAAAUUCUUUCACCGGGGACGAUAAUGACGGUACCCGGAGAAGAAGCCCCGGCUAACUUCGUG